rnacentral:misc_RNA from 1 species
AUUUUUAUAUCAAUAAUAUAUUAAUAACUCAGUCAAAAUACAAUUAUUUUCAAAAAAAAAAUGCUUGUUAUGCUUAAUAUUUUUAGUUUAAUUUUUAUCUGUUUUAAUUCUGCCAUUUUUUCAAGCAAUUUUUUCUUUACAAAAUUGCCCGAAGCCUACGCCUUUUUGAAUCCAAUCGUAGAUGUUAUGCCAGUAAUCCCUGUACUCUUUUUUCUAUUAGCCUUUGUUUGGCAAGCUGCUGUAAGUUUUUGAAUAAAUCAUGAAUUAUUCUAGAACAAU